GUAUUUUGGUUUUGUAAACAUUACAAAACAAGGUAUACCUUGUUUUAGUCUGGUGCUAUCUUCUUGUCAUAAAACAGUUGUCAGGGUACUUGGUUUUACUGUUAGUGGAUGGUGAGAAGUAGUGGUCCCAAAAGACUACUUUACUUUAACUACUGUCUUGUUUAAUAAUUUAGUUAUGUUCUAAUCAUACUGUCACCAUGUGUGCCUUGUGCUCUGGCUGCCUACAAGCCAGAGCUGUCACUGUGAUUAUCCACUAUCCACCUUGAAAUCCCUACUUAUUUGAUUUGCAGUCAGGUCCCAAGUCCACAUCUCCCACCUGCUUAGUGGAUCUUAAAGUAAGGAUCAAUGUGUUUUGAUGAGAGAUAGAGAUAAAAUCCUGUCUGUGGAGAGCAUUCCUUGAGCAUAAAGAGCUUUAGAGUAUUAUGGGAGAGAACAAGCAAAGAGAAAGUUGUGCACUACAUCAGAAUUUAGUUCUGGACUGACUGCUGGCCCAGAAGAAAGUGUCCACUUAUGCUAGACAAUUUCUCUCUUCAGACUUCCUCUGCUAAGACAAACAUGAUUGAAAACCUGCACCAAGGCACAUUCCCCUUCACCAGGGGUAGGUGAAGGGAAACUGGUCUCAUGCCUGCACCACUUCUUUGUAAAGCAGAGCACCGAAUCCAGCUUCCUUCCUUUCAAAUGAGCAUUCAGAUGAGUGAGGCAACUGGUUGUUCUGACACAAGUUCUUCAGAACUUCUGUUAAUAGAUUUCAAGGUGUAGAAUGACUACGCAAUGAAGUAUGCAGUAGAAUACAAACUAAGCAAAGACAAAAACAAAGACAGGCAUCUACCCUACAGCCCUGAAUAGCAUGGCAUUUAUAACUUUGUUUGUGAUUGAGACUCACCUUUGAAUUAGAUGAUGACAAGAUUUAGAAACAAAACAUCAGGUAAGAUUGGUAAGUUUCUGGGUCAGUAGGUUGAAAGCAGCCCCAACAAGACUUCUGUACUCCUCCUACUCCCCGCUCUUUUGUGGUUUUGGGGACCAUGUACCAUAUGCCUCUUCUGCACUUUCCUAAUACUGGAAUUUCACCAAGCCUGAGGUUAAAGCUUAAGAACCAGUGUGGCUGAGCAACUUCAGGAUGUUAGCAAGAGUGUCUAAGGAAGUUUUGCUAUCUUUGUGCUAGAAAAUUCUCUCUUGCAGUUGAUCCUGAACCCUUGAGGAGUUCUUAUCAUAGCAGGACAGCCCGGCCUAACUCAGGUGGUAGAAGGAUUGUGAGUGAUAUCUCAGACCAGAUCUUUGUGCAGCUGCUACUAGUGCUGAGUCAUGGCUCCAGAAUUUUAAACAGCAGAAGUUUCUAUGAUGGAUUGUUAAAAGCUCAAAAACCUUUCCUACAGAAGCAGAGCAAUUUCAGAACACAAGACAGUAAGUCUAGGGGGGGGAAAAAAAGUUCAUAUGAACACUUUGUACAGUUGUCUUGAAAAACAAUUUACUGAAAUAAUAGUUGAAACUUCUAUGGUAUUGAAACGCAGCCACAGCAGGUGGCUAGGUGUAACCCUAUCACACAGGCAGCCCUGAUUUGUAGCUAGAGGAUAAUUCCAGUGCUUCCAGAAGGAAACAAUAGCUAGAACAUUAACAAACAAGCAAUCUGCUCAAAUGGUUGAGGGUUCGAAAGCUUUUCUCCAGGCAAUGAGAAAUGGUAAGGGCAUUAUAAAAUUAAGACCUUUUGCUAUAAGGUGUUUUUAAAUACAGCUGCAUUCUGGUGUUGCAGUUCAUAUACUUUCUGUGCACAUGUUAUUCUCCUCAUCUUCCUUCAUAGGCUCACACUGAGAGCAAAUUCAAAGCAAGCUUUUGAGUGCAGCUAUUUCACUAUUACCACAUUUCUCAGUUUUCAGGUGUAGGUCACUUAACAGUUACUGUGACCUCACUGUUGCUUCAUAUUACAUAGUGUUUGUUAGCCAUUUUUUCACUUCUUUUAAGAUGUAGCUAGGACUUUGUCUGGAAGGCAAUAGGAAAUGGGCUACCAGCACUGCUGCUUGGGGCAUCCCAGGGUGUUCCUUCAGCUCUGCCCCCAGAGUACAUCCCCUCCAUGAGCUGCAGUGUUGCAUUUCUACAGGACACAGGCAACUGAAGAGGAUAAAGAAGUUAUAAGAUGGGAUAAGAUAGAUAUAAGAAGGAUAAAGAAGUUAAAGAAGUAGGGUUAUAUGGCGGUCAAACUUCCUUUUAAACCAGCGACCAGAAAACUACCAGAGAAUCACAGAACGGCUUAUGUUGGAGGGGACCUUAAUGACCAUCUAGUUCCAACCCACCUUCACAGACAGGGUUGCCAACCCCUAGAUCAGGUUGCCCAGCACUCCAAGAAGUUAGAAAAAAAGAAGCAAAAGAGCAAGAAAGGUUACCUACAUUUGUUAUUUUUUACUAUGUCUCUCAAAUGAAGGGAAAGGUAUCCAGUUACAGCAGUGUUAGAAAGAGGCAUGAAAAGAAAAGCACUAUUAUCUCGGUUAGUUUACCACUCCUUUGGCUGAUUAAUGUCUAGAUGCAAUUAAGAAAUUCCAAGCUAACUUUUUUUUCCUGUAAACAAGACUUUUUUCCCCCCCCACCUAGCAUGGGCAUCCUCCCAUGGUUGCUGUUGAACAGCAGUAAAAGGAUUCUUCAGCUCAGCUUCAGCUCACCUGGAGAAAUAAAUGGGAAGCCAGGGGGCUGCCACACACAUUUGGGGAUGAGGAAGCAGAAGUGUGGUGAAGGAGGUUCCACAGUUUCAUGUUCCUAAACUGAAACCUUUGAAGGUGGGUGCACUUUUCAAUUGUACCUGUCUGAACUAGAGAGUCUGCUUGAUUUAGUCCAAGAUCAGAGUGGUUAAGACUUGCAUUUGCAAAAGGGACCCCCACGAUCUGAGACUGGUACACAAUAUCUGGCUAACCAAAAUCAAAAUGAAAACAUUAUUAACAACAGGAAGCUUAGGAACACACAGCAAAGGGGACCUUGUGAGCCAGAUCUCUCUUUACGGGUAACAAUUUCAUGCAGUCAUCUCUAUAAACAUAUGAAAAUCUGUUUCAUCUAUAGAGUAUUCUGGACUCUUUCUCCCACUCAGAAUGUUUUGUUAAAAACUGAUUGCAGCUAAGCCACACACACCUGUUUGCUCAAGGCAAUAUUGUUCUUCUGCUUAAAUAUGCCUUCUGACUCCAUGUGUUUAAUUCACUGUUGUAUUUAUAAAUCACAGUUGCAUUCUUCCUAAGCAUUUAUUCUACCAGGACAAACAAGACAAACUCUUCCAGUUUACUCCUCUAUAUUAGACUGCCCAUUGCUAAUCCCCACAGGAUUGCACCUGCCCCAGCUGCAUUCAUGUUUCUGGCAUGGGUGACCAGCAUUGUAAAGACAAUUCCAGGUGCAGUUUUACAAGCAUAGCUGCUUUAGUGCUUCCCCAUCUCUCUUGAAGAAUUCCUCCAUAGAACACUCUGGAAUUGCACUUACCUUUUACUCAGACACUUCAUACCAGACCAGCAGCCCAAAGCUAAUUUAUGAUUAACCAAUACUCUCAAGGUUUUCUCUGUCUCCAUAGCUUUUAAUGGAUGAGAAUUUCUGGUACGAGCUGAAAGCUCAUUAUUAAGCCUCUAGGUUCAUGACUCUGCACUCAUUUUCCUUAAUGCUGUUCAUAUUACCAGCAUUUUCCUGUUUUUCCUGGAGAGUCCAACCCUCCACCAUUUUGGCAGUAACGCUCAGCUUCAUGUCAUCAAAAACAAGGAAUACAUCCUCCAAAUAACUCACUCAUUACCAUAAAUUUAAUCUCAUUGCAAUAAGCCAUUGUUGCUUAGGGGACACAAAGACUUAGGGGACAACACACACCAGGUUUUCCUUUGUGGUCUCUGUAAUUGUCACCCGAGCACCAAUGAAUUGGGCCAAUAUGCUAUCCACUGCCAACAGCUAGCCACAGCCCGAGGAGCUCCAACUACCCUUAAUAAAAUCUGGGGUUUUGGUCCCACUCUAUUCCCUACUGCCUUACAUUGAAGGCUACAAGGAAAUACAGCCCUCCUGUGACAAACACGGUUGACAAAUAUCGAGAACCUGUCCCUUGAAAGAGCAUCUGUUGUGAAUCUAUCCAAAGCACACCCCCCCCCCAGCAACAACAGAACACCCAGGAUAAUAAGCUCUUUUGAACAAGAGCUGCUUUUUUUUUUUUCUUUGCUUUGUAUCCACAGCACUGGAAAUGUAAGAGCUUGAAUGAUCCGCUCUCUGUUGCAGACAAUGGAAAAAUGCUGAAACACUAAAAUGAAGCCUUCAAUAGAUAGAAUGAAGCCUUGUCACUAAGAUGAACUGCUAACAGCAAGUUCAGCUGAGCCUGCACUGAGCUAGCAUCCCAGCUGAAAAUAAUGUAGAUGCUAAAGAUUAUUAUUACAUUUGAAGUGAGACCCUUUGACAAGUUACAACACAGAGGAACUUUAUGGAACAAAAGCUCUGCUCUGGGUGAUACCUAUGCCUUAAAAGCAACCCAUCUGCGACUACUACUCUUCCACCUCAAUACCAAAUGCAUUCCAUUUAAAAAUAAGACAUCCUAAUGAGUUUGGCCAAUCAACAUGGGAUUCAUUGACAGAAUGGAGAUGAUGGAGAAAAUGUGAGAAGAAAACUGGUUCUACUUGCUGUCCAUUAGACUGGAUGCGUUGUUGUCAAGAUUAAACAUCUCACAGUCAGUAACCAUAGUAAUGUACUGUUUCCUAACAUAGGCAUCCAAAAUCCUGCCACUCUUUCUAAAAGCACAGACAUUCCCUAAACCAUCACCUGAGGCUUUCAUGACCACACUCACCAAAUGCAUAUUACAUUUCCAUGCCCUCCAGUCUUAAUAGAGUAAACGUGCUAAUGAACUAACAACGCUUUAAGCCAUUUUAGAAUGUACUUAUUUCAAUAUUAUUUAAGAUGUAAAAAUGUAACUAAUCUCAAACUCCGUUUCUCACUGUCAGAAACUGCUGUCAUUGCCUUAAGUAACAGCACAGUGGAUGGAUAGGGAACAGGAAAACCAAGCAGCACUUGAUUACUUUGUUGAUCUAUUUCCUUCUUAAAGUCUCUUUCUAGGACCUGCUGCAAGCUGUAACCUUUAUAUGUAAUUACCAUUAAGGAGCAUUGGUGUGAAAUAAUACUGAAGAAUUGUAAACUCUCAGAAAACAAAGCAGAAAUGCAAAAAUGGUCUGAAUAAACUUUGGGGUUGCUUCAGUAAGGCUUAACAUUGUGUUUUAACCUGGCAGGUAGCAAAGCACCACACAGUCAUCCACUCACUCCCCACCUCCCAUUGAGAUGGGGGUGUGAGGGGAGAACUGAAAGAAAGAAAAAACAAAUGAAGAACUUGUGUACUGAGAUAAAAAUGAUUUAGUAAGACAGAAAGGGAAGAGGGAAAAAAAAGAUAUUGAUAAUUAUGUGUAUAUAUAGUAUAGAAACAUAUAUACACACACAAAACAAGUGAUACACAAGCAAUUGCUCACCACCUGCCAUCCAAAGUCCAGUUCUGACCUCUUCCAUGUACUUCAUAUGUUCAUUCAUUGGCAUACAUGCCUUACAAACUGCAAGAGAGCCAGGCAAGGGCAUUAAUAUUUUGUAUUCAUUGUUUUUUUUCCUUAUUGACUGGGUUUUAGAAGGCCGGAAGGCCUGUGUUGGUACAGUACUGUCUCACUUACAACACUGACAUUUCUCAGCAGGACUUCUGUGCCCAACUGGAAUGGCUGCUGGAGCAGCAUUUGUUUUACCUCUUCUUAGAGGCUUCGAGACAAGUUAGUCAAGUCAAAGCUAGG
ensembl:lncRNA